rnacentral:rRNA from 1 species
GUAGUCCACGCCGUAAACGAUGAGUGCUAGUUGUUGGAUUUAUUCAGUAACACAGUUAACACGUUAAGCACUCCGCCUGGGGAGUACGGUCGCAAGAUUAAAACUCAAAGGAAUUGACGGGGACCCGCACAAGCGGUGGAGCAUGUGGUUUAAUUCGAUGCUACGCGAAAAACCUUACCAACCUUUGACAUCCCUCUUUUGGGCUUUGUAAUGGAAGCCCUUCGGUUCGGCCGGGGAGGAGACAGGUGUUGCAUGGCUGUCGUCAGCUCGUGUCGUGAGAUGUUGGGUUAAGUCCCGCAACGAGCGCAACCCUCAUUCUUAGUUGCCAACGGAUAAUGCCGGGAACUCUAGGAAAACUGCCCGUGACAAGCGGGA